AACAUUGAAAGUCCUGCUCAUUCGCAUGUGCUAGCUUGCCAAGAAGGCAAGUGUAAAAUCAAAUGAUGCUGAAUGUGUGCAAAUGCACAGCUUGAAAAUAAAGAUGUGUGCUGGAAGCUUAACUGUGAUCUUACAUUUUAUAAAUGUUUUAGAAAGCAACAGUGACCCCCAGAUAGUCACUGAUAAACAUGUGUUUGAUUGACAGGGGUAUUCAAAAUGCUGAGAAUUUAUAUUUAAAUGGAGAGAGUUCACCCAAAGAUAGAAAUUCUUGUCAUAAUUUAUUCACUCUCAUGUCAUUACCUUUCUAAUCUAAUGUCCUUCUAUGCAUCACAAAAGAAGAAGGUUUUGAAGGACAUGAGGCGACAUUUUGGUCUGGAUAACCGAAUCGGAGCCCCCUGCUAUUCAUCGAGCUGUCUGUGAAGAGAUAACAGAUCAAUUAUGUAUAGCCAAUGCCACUCUGUACAGGAAGUCAAAGUAAGUAGCUCAAUGAAAGGAUUAGAAACUCCCAGCAAGAGCUGAACGCGACAGGAUAGGGUGACCCGUAACACCCCAUGACAUCACGCCAUCCCUCAGGAAACUUUAUAUGAAAGGCUAUUGUGAACACUAAACCUGAAAAGUCUCUGCAGACCCUGUUGUUCUGUUGCACAAGAGAGUGCUAGAAAUCUAAGCGGGUGAACCAGACCUGUGUUGUAUGAAGGCAAGGGUGUCUCAGUCAACAAAUCCAGGAGGUAUUGUUUUGAGCUGCAGCAUGAAUCAAGAGUUUAGUUAUCAAAUGAAGGUAUUUGAAAAGGAAGAACAUUGCUGUCUGAUUUGAUACAAUAAGCUCAAUUCAAGUGGAUGACUGGGUAAUAUGCAGUAUUUUGAGCUGAAUAAAAGUUUAUUCAUGAAAUGUCAAACUUGGGGAGGACCUGUUUACAGCUUUUCUUUGACAAACAGUUUUAACAGGCCGCAUUCUCACAAAGGAGUCAAACAAUGUUGCAGAUAUUUUUUCAAGGAGUGACUUUAAUGACUUUCGCCUCCAAGUAUUAUAGAGGGAAAUAGUAUUAUGGGCUCUUGGAUUAAAGCUUUAAAUGGUUAACCCUAAUUUUUGUUGGGGUCA